CGAUUCUGUUAGCGAGCUCUGAGAGGAUGAUCCGCCACACUGGGACUGAGACACGGCCCAGACUCCUACGGGAGGCAGCAGUGGGGAAUAUCGGACAAUGGGCGAAAGCCUGAUCCAGACAUGCCGCGUAGUGUGAAGAAGGCCUUUUGANUUGUAAAGCACUUUAAGCGAGGAGGAGGCUACUUAGAGUAAUACUCUAGGAUAGUGGACGUUACUCACAGAAUAAGCACCGGAUAACUCUGUGCCAGCAGCCGCGGUAAUACAGAGGGUGCGAGCGUUAAUCGGAUUUACUGGGCGUAAAGCGUGCGUAGGCGGCUUUUUAAGUCGGAUGUGAAAUCCAUGAGCUUAACUUAGGAAUUGCAUUCGAUACUGGGAAGCUAGAGUAUGGGAGAGGAUGGUAGAAUUCCAGGUGUAGCGGUGAAAUGCGUAGAGAUCUGGAGGAAUACCGAUGGCGAACGCAGCCAUCUGGCCUAAUACUGACGAUGAGGUACGAAAGCAUGGGGAGCAAACAGGAUUAGAUACCCUGGUAGUCCAUGCCGUAAACGAUGUCUACUAGCCGUUGGGGCCUUUGAGGCUUUAGUGGCGCAGCUAACGCGAUAAGUAGACCGCCUGGGGAGUACGGUCGCAAGACUAAAACUCAAAUGAAGUGACGGGGGCCCGCACAAGCGGUGGAGCAUGUGGUUUAAUUAGAUGCAACGCGAACAACCUUACCUGGUCUUGACAUACUAAGAACUUUCCAGAGAUGGAUUGGUGCCUUCGGGAAGCUUACAUACAGGUGCUGCAUGACUGUCGUCAGCUCGUGUCGUGAGAUGUUGGGCUAAAGUCCCGCAACGAACGCAACCCCUUUACCUUAUUUGCCUAGCGGGUUAAUGCCGGGAACUUUUAAGGAUACUGCCUAGUGACAAACUGCGAGGAAGACGGGGACGACGUCAAGUCAUCAUGGCCCAUUACCGACCGAGGCCUACACACGUUGCUAUCAAUGGGUUCGGUUAC
rnacentral:rRNA from 1 species